UACGUAGGCAGCGAGCGUUGUUCGGAAUUACUGGGCGUAAAGAGUGUGUAGGCGGUGUUCCCAGUCUGUUGUGAAAUCUCCCGGCCUAACUGGGAGGGGUCGCCCAAGACUGGUGGUCUUGAGGACAGCAGAGGUGGGUGGAAUUCCUGGUGUAGUGGUGAAAUGCGUAGAGAUCAGGAGGAACACCGGUGGCGAAGGCGGCCCACUGGGCUGUCACUGACGCUGAGGCGCGAAAGCUCGGGGAGCGAACGGG
rnacentral:rRNA from 1 species